rnacentral:rRNA from 1 species
UCCCCUAGUAACGGCGAGUGAAGCGGGAAGAGCUCAAAUUUGAAAUCUGGCGGUCUCAGGCCGUCCGAGUUGUAAUCUAGAGAGGUGUUUUCCGUGCCGGACCGUGUACAAGUCCCUUGGAACAGGGCGUCAUAGAGGGUGAGAAUCCCGUCCAUGACACGGACUCCCGGUGCUCUGUGAUACACCUUCAAAGAGUCGAGUUGUUUGGGAAUGCAGCUCAAAAUGGGUGGUAAAUUCCAUCUAAAGCUAAAUAUAGGCGAGAGACCGAUAGCGAACAAGUACCGUGAGGGAAAGAUGAAAAGAACUUUGGAAAGAGAGUUAAACAGUACGUGAAAUUGUUGAAAGGGAAACGCUUGAAGUCAGUCGCGUCUGUCAGGACUCAGCCUUGCUUAUGCUUGGUGCACUUCCUGGUGGAUGGGCCAGCAUCGAUUUUGGUCGGUGGACAAGGGCGGAAGGAAUGUGGCAGCUUGCUGUGUUAUAGCCUUCCGUCGUACACGCUGACUGGGAUCGAGGACUGCAGCACGCCUUUGGUCGGGGUUCGCCCACGCCACGUGCUUAGGAUGCUGGCGUAAUGGCUUUAAACGAC